CUCAUAAGGGCGUAUGGUGGAUGCCUUGACUCAAACGAGCGAUGAAGGACGUAGCGGGUUGCGAUAAGCCUCGGGGAGCUGCCGAGCAAGCUUUGAUCCGGGGAUUUCCGAAUGCGGCAACGCAUCUCGAUUUAUAUCGGGAUAUCGUUAACUGAAUUCAUAGGUUAACGAAGCGCACCCAGGGAACUGAAACAUCUUAGUACCUGGAGGAAAAUACAUAAACUAGAUUCCGUGAGUAGUGGCGAGCGAAAGCGGAGAAGNNNNNNNNNNNNNNNNNNNNNNNAUUUUUAGCUUUAGUUGUAUUAGUGUCAAUAUUCGUUAGAUUAGUGUUUAAGCGAAGCGUCGAGCGUAGCGAGAUGCGAGCGGGGGUUGCGAGACAUUAACGUCCUAUCUUGUGAAAUGUCGGAUAUAGUUGCCGGCUUUUCACUUGACGGGAGUGANNNNNNNNNNNNNNNNNNNNNNNNNNNNUAAAUAUCGUUUGAGAUCGAUAGUGAACUAGUACCGUGAGGGAAAGGUGAAAAGCACCCCGUUGAGGGGAGUGAAAUAGAACUGAAACCAUACGCUUACGUAGAGUAGGAGCUCCGACAUGACGUCGGGGUGACUGCGUGCUUUUUGUAGAACGAGCCAACGAGUUAAUUCUAUGCGGCAAGUUUAAGCAGUUCAAAACUGUGUAAACAUAGUGAAAGCGAGUUUUAAUGGACGAAAUAAGUCGCAUGGAUUAGACCCGAAGCCGGGCGAGCUACGCAUGAGCAGGGUGAACCCCGAGUAACAUCGGGGGGAGGCCCGCACCCACGCGCCGUACAACACGCGGGGAUGACUUGUGUGUAGAGGAGAAAUUCCAAUCGAGCUCGGCCAUAGCUGGUUCUUCCCGAAAUAGCUUGAGGGCUAGCGUCGGGGAACAUAAUCGCGGGAGGUAGAGCUACUGAAUGAGAGAUCGUGGAGCAAUCCUAGGUCUCUCAACCAAACUCCGAAUGCCCGUCGAUUUUAUCCCGGCAGUCAGAGUAUGAGGGCUAAGCUUCAUGCUCAAAAAGGAAACAGCCUAGACCGCCGUCUAAGGUCCCUAAAUCUAUGUUAAGUGGUAAAGGAGGUGAGAUCUCCUAGACACCUAGGAGGUUGGCUUAGAAGCAGCCAUCCUUUAAAGAGUGCGUAACAGCUCACUAGUCUAGAGAUUUCGCGCCGAAAAUUCAACGGGGCUCAAACAUAGUACCGAAGACGCGGGCUCCGACGUUAAGUCGGAGCGGUAGGGAAGUGUCCUCAUCUGCUGCGAAGCUCCGAUGUGAGUCGGAGUGGAGCGAUGAGGAGUAAGAAUGUUGGCAUGAGUAACCGCAAUUGGGGUGAGAACCUCCAACGCCGAAAGUCCAAGGUUUCCUGGGCAAUGUCGAUCAACCCAGGGUUAGGCGAUCCUAAGGCGAGGCCGAAAGGCGUAGUCGAUGGACAGCCGGUUAAUAUUCCGGCCCCGCAAUAUUAUUCGACGGAGUGACGUAUUCUAGUAGUCUCUGCCCCUUAUUGGAUUGGGGUAGGUGUGUUGAGGGCGUUCUCUUGGCAAAUCCGGAGAGCACAACCCAAGGCACAACUGGAAGUCCGAUUUAUCGGGCGAACGGAGAUGAGCAGGGUACCGGGAAAAACUUCUAAGUUCAAAAUAAUAUUGCGUCCGUACUUAAAACCGACACAGGUGGACUGGGCGAGUAGCCUAAGGCGAACGGGAGAACCCUCGUUAAGGAACUCGGCAAAACAACUAGACGUAACUUAGGGAGAUGUCUUUCCCCGAUGAAUAAUCGGGGGUGCAAUUAAAGAUUCCAAGCGACUGUUUAUCAAAAACACAGGUCUCCGCAAACCCGUAAGGGGAAGUAUGGGGGCUGACGCCUGACCAGUGCUGGAACGUUAACGGGAGCGGUGCAAGCCAAUCCCCGAAGCGCCAGUGAACGUCAGCGAUAACUAUAAUCNNNNNNNNNNNNNNNGCUAAUAACGGUGAAGGCUAAGAUUCGAGAGAAUUAUGCUAAUACCGUGGGAAUCUGUUAUAAUUUCAACAGAACCCGUAACGACUGAAGCGAAAGCUAAGAUCCCGAAAAAAACGGGAUAAUACGCCAGCGCUUAUCAAAUAAAAGAAACAUAUGGAUUUUGCAAUGUACAUUUCCGGUUUUGUAGAUGGAGAAGGAUGUUUUUGCAUUUCUUUCAACUUCAGAGAGAAACUGAAAACAAAAAUCGAAGUGCGUCCGAGUUUCGCUGUUAGUCAAAAUAAGCGAAAUUUAGAUGUAUUGAAAAAGAUUCGAGAUUAUUUUGGGUGCGGAAAUAUCCGUUUUUCCAAAAAUGAUCAGAAUUAUAAAUUUGAAGUGAGGAAUAUUUCGGAAUUGAGAAGAAAAAUUAUUCCCCAUUUUAAAUCCUAUCCAUUACAGACUACAAAGAGAGCUGAUUUUCAAAUUUUUGAGGAAAUCUGUGAUCUUGUAGCUCGGACAAAACACAGAAAUCCAAUUUAUUUGAAGCAAAUCAUUGAUUUUGCCUAUCAAAUGAACAUUUCUGGAAAAAGGAGAUACAAAAAAGCAGAACUCCUAAGUGUUUUAGAUAAGAUGAAGAUAUAGUCUGAUUUUUCGCGAAAGCGAUCAAACGUGAAUGAAGUUCCGACCCGCAUUAAAGGCGUAACGACUUGGAAACUGUCUCAACGAGGGACCCGGUGAAAUCGCAAUGGCAGUGAAGAUGCUGCCGACCUACGGCAAGACGAAAAGACCCCGUGGAGCUUUACUAUAACUUGGUAUUGGGUUGUGAUUUUAGCUGCCUAGCAUAGGUGGGAGGCUUUGAAACCUCGCUUUCGGGCGAGGUGGAGCCGCCAGUGUAAUACCACCCUGCUGAAGUCGCAAUUCUAACCCCGCACCACUCGUUUCACUUCGAGUGCGGGGCAGGCCCUGCUUGAUGAAAAAUCAAGAGGCUUGCCCUGCACCGGAGCGUAGCGACUGGUGCAGGGACAGUGCCUGGUGGGUAGUUUGACUGGGGCGGUCGCCUCCCAAAAGGUAACGGAGGCGCUUACAAAGGUUGGCUAGCUCCGGAUGGAAAUCGGAGUGAUAGCGCAAACGCAAAAGCCAGCUUUACUGGAAGGCCCAUAAGCCGACCAGUCACGAAAGUGGAAGUUAGUGAACCGACCAUCCCUCGUAGGAGGGUGGAAGAUCAUCAGAUAAAAGUUACCCCGGGGAUAACAGGCUAAUUCCUCCCAAGAGUCCACAUCGACGGAGGAGUUUGGCACCUCGAUGUCGGCUCAUCGCAUCCUGGGGCUGGAGAAGGUCCCAAGGGUUUGGCUGUUCGCCAAUUAAAGCGGUACGCGAGCUGGGUNNNNNNNNNNNNNGAGAGGACCGGAAAGAACGAACCUCUGGUGUACCAGUUGUUCCUGCCAAGGGCACUGCUGGGUAGCUAUGUUCGGAAGGGAUAAUCGCUGAAAGCAUCUAAGCGAGAAGCCCACCUCAAGAUUAGGCA
rnacentral:rRNA from 1 species